UACAGAGGUCUCGAGCGUUAGGCGGAAUCACUGGGCUUAAAGCGUGUGUAGGCGGGUCGUUAAGUGCCUUGUGAAAUCCCACAGCUUAACUGUGGAACUGCUUGGUAUACUGCCGGUCUUGAGCCAGCUAGGGGCUACCGGAACAAAUGGUGGAGCGGUGAAAUGCGUAGAUAUCAUUUGGAACGCCAAUGGUGAAAACAGGUAGCUGGGGCUGUGCUGACGCUGAGACACGAAAGCCAGGGGAGCAAACGGG
rnacentral:rRNA from 1 species